CGAGUUGUAAUUUGCAGAGGAUGCUUUGGAUUUUGUGCUGUCAAAAGUCCAUUGGAACAUGGCGUCACGGAGGGUGAAAAUCCCGUGUUGAUAGAAAUUCAAUUUCCAUGUAAAGCUCCUUCGAAGAGUCGAGUUGUUUGGGAAUGCAGCUCUAAGGGGGAGGUAAAUUUCUUCCAAAGCUAAAUACCGGCUAGAGACCGAUAGCGCACAAGUAGAGUGAUCGAAAGAUGAAAAGCACUUUGAAAAGAGAGUUAAACAGCACGUGAAAUUGUUGAAAGGGAAGCGCAUGCASCCAGACAUGACGUCACGGUUCAGCCUUUUGGUGUAUUCCGUAGCGUCAGGCCAACAUCAGUUUGAGCAGUUGGAUAAAGGUUUCGGAAAUGUAGCUCUCUCCGGAGAGUGUUAUAGUCUGAUUCACAAUACGGCUUGCUCAGACUGAGGUCUGCUUU
rnacentral:rRNA from 1 species